rnacentral:rRNA from 1 species
UUUUUCAUUGGAGAGUUUGAUCCUGGCUCAGGACGAACGCUGGCGGCGUGCUUAACACAUGCAAGUCGAACGGAAAGGCCCCUUUGGGGGUACUCGAGUGGCGAACGGGUGAGUAACACGUGAGUAACCUGCCCUUGACUUCGGGAUAACUUCAGGAAACUGGGGCUAAUACCGGAUAGGAAUCCUUGCUGCAUGGUGGGGGUUGGAAAGCUUCGGCGGUUUUGGAU